rnacentral:rRNA from 1 species
AUUGAACGCUGGCGGCAUGCUUUACACAUGCAAGUCGAACGGUAACAGGGUGCUUGCACCGCUGACGAGUGGCGAACGGGUGAGUAAUGCGUCGGAACGUGCCGAGUAGUGGGGGAUAACGCAGCGAAAGUUGUGCUAAUACCGCAUACGUACUGAGGUAGAAAGUGGGGGACCUUCGGGCCUCACGCUAUUCGAGCGGCCGACGUCUGAUUAGCUAGUAGGUGAGGUAAAGGCUCACCUAGGCGACGAUCAGUAGCGGGUCUGAGAGGAUGAUCCGCCACACUGGGACUGAGACACGGCCCAGACUCCUACGGGGGGCAGCAGUGGGGAAUUUUGGACAAUGGGCGAAAGCCUGAUCCAGCCAUGCCGCGUGUCUGAAGAAGGCCUUCGGGUUGUAAAGGACUUUUGUCAGGGAGGAAAUCCCUAGUGCUAAUACCGCUGGGUACUUUGACGUUACCAACAGAAUAAGCACCGGCUAACUCUGUGCCAACCGCCGCAGUAACAC